AACAUUCUAAUAGCAUUCGCUCAUAUAAUAGCGGGAAUAUGGCCCGCAAGUAUCUACCGAUUUACCGUAAAUAAAUCGACUAUGAGAAGCAACGAAUUGAAA
rnacentral:ncRNA from 1 species